GGUGAGAUGGCCGAGCGGUCUAAGGCGCUGCGUUCAGGUCGCAGUCUAGUAAUAGGCGUGGGUUCGAAUCCCACUCUCAUCA
rnacentral:tRNA from 4 species